AUUGAACGCUGGCGGCAGGCCUAACACAUGCAAGUCGAACGAGUGGCGGACGGGUGAGUAAUGUCUGGGAAACUGCCUGAUGGACGGGGAUAACGACUGGAAAAGGUAGCUACUACCGCAUACCAUCGGAUGUGCCCAGGUGGGAUUAGCUAGUAGGUGGGGUAAAGGCUCAACUAGCAGAAGCUCCCUAGCUGGUCUGAGAGGGUGACCAGCCACACUGGAACUGAGAAACGGUCCAGACGCCUACGGGAGGCAUCAGUGGGGAAUAUUGGACAAUGGGCGCAAGCCUGAUGCAGCCAUGCCGCGUGUAUGAAGAAGGCCUUCGGGUUGUAAAGGACUUUCAGCGGGGAGGCGUUACCCGCAGAAGAAGCACCGGCUAACUCCGUGCCAGCAGCCGCGGUAAUUC
rnacentral:rRNA from 1 species